AUACGUAGGUGGCAAGCGUUGUCCGGAUUUACUGGGUGUAAAGGGCGUGCAGCCGGGGAAGCAAGUCAGGUGUGAAAUGCAGAGGCUUAACCUCUGAAUUGCAUUUGAAACUGUUUUUCUUGAGUACUGGAGGGGCAAUCGGAAUUCCUAGUGUAGCGGUGAAAUGCGUAGAUAUUAGGAGGAACACCAGUGGCGAAGGCGACUUACUGGGCCGUAACUGACGCUGAGGCGCGAAAGCGUGGGGAGCGAACAGGAUUAGAUACCCUGGUAGUCCACGCGGUAAACGAUGAAUGCUAGGUGUUGCGGGUAUCGACCCCUGCAGUGCCGGAGUCAACACAAUAAGCAUUCCGCCUGGGGAGUACGGCCGCAAGGUUGAAACUCAAAUGAAUUGACGGGG
rnacentral:rRNA from 1 species